rnacentral:lncRNA from 1 species
CAGGAGAUUGAAUAUGGUUCCCUGUGCUGUACAGUAGAACCCUUGUAUUGUUUAUCUGUUCUAAAUGUGACUCUUUGCAUCCGCUAACCCCAGACUCCCCGUCCCUCCCACUUCCUCCCCCCAUCAUGUAUUUUGCAUUGUUUUUGAUGAUUUCCUUUCCAUGUACCUUAUGCUUAUUUAAUUAUAAAAAUAAUCUGUACUUGUAAUCAUGUGGAAUUCUUAAAAAAGAAAAUGGAUAGUUUAUCCUUUGUUCUGCUUUAUCAAAUCCCUUUUCCACCUUAGUCUCCUCUCUUUGAGGAAAUAUUCACAAUUCCAUAGGUAUCCUUCACGUUCUCUUUUUCACUUAAACAUAUUCUCAUAUACGUAAUAUGAGAUUUCCUUCUGUCUUUUUCUUUUUUUUUUUCUCUUGUCUUUCUAGGGCCGCACCCGAGGCACAUGGAAGUUCCCAGGCUAGGGGUCAAAUCGGAGCCUUAGCUGCUGGCCUAUGCUACAGCCACAGCAACGCCAAAUCAAAGCCAUGUCUGUGACCUACACUAUAGCCCACGGCAGCGCUGGAUCCUUAACCCACUGAGCGAGACCAGGGAUCGAACCGCGUCCUUGUGGAAGCUGGUUGGGUUCGUUACCACUGAGCCACAGUGGAACUUCCUGGGAUUUCUUCCCUUUGUACUUUUUUCAAAAAUGCAAACUUUGUGUACCCUUAAUUUUUUCAAGUUAAGAGUAUAGACCUCUUUUUAGGUCAAAACAUACAAAUCUGUUUCAUUUGUUUUAAUAACCGAAUAAUAUUUCAUCGUGUGGCUGUAGCAUACAUUAUGCUGCUUCUCCCCUGUUGGUGAACAUGCUGGUUGCUUCCAGUGUUUUAUUACCUCAAACCUCUUAUUAGUACCAUAUGAGGAUCAUUUUAGAAGUCUUACAGUUAUUUUUCCAUUCAGUAAAGUGUGUUGCUAAGUAGGUGUAAAAAGUAGAAACCUUCCAUCUCCUGCUUGCUUUCAUCUUUUAUCCUGCACGUCCAUAAUUAGCAGCCUGUUACUAGAGAUUUACAUGCAGGAUAUCUCUUUAUUUGGGGAGUGGCCCUGAAUGUAGCUUUUGUUGUGUGUUGGAGCCAUUUGUGGUUCGCUUCUGUGCGUGGAUUCACUGAUGAGCAGAGGUGAUCUUUCAGCUGUCAUAAUGUCCCAAUUAGACCCCUUCAACAGCAAAUUAAUUUGGGCAAAUCCUGUUUAUUGAUGAUGGACCCACCAGUUAGCCAUGGUUUGCUAGUGUUACCUUGUUAGACUCUGGCCUUAGAUUUUCAUGUGUGAGGAAGCCUGGCUUUCAGAGUGCAUUACUUUAUAAAGCAGCUGGUGGUAUUUGGGAGUUAGGGAGGAAGAGAAUGAUGCUCUGAUGACGUGAAAAAUUUGCCCAGGUCCCCUGGUUUGCUUAAUAGACAAUAAAUACUCUUACUGGUCGCAUGUUUCAGGAUUUUGAGUUCUGGGGAAGCAUUCUUGACAGUGUGAUUAGGAAAACGCCCAGUUUUCAUGUGGGGAAACAAGCCUGCUUAUUAAAGAGGUCACAACUCCCUCUUGCUCCAGUCCUGUUUUCAACUAGAGAGGACAAUGAUGGUUUUGCAGGAUUUAGCGUUGAUCAAAUAAAUGUCGCCUGGCAGAGCCAACUGUCCUGGAUGGAGGCUCUAGGAAGAGGCAUAUGUGGUCCUCUUGCAGGUAAUAAAAUGGAAAAUCCAAUUUGCAAUUGCAGAAGCAGCCUCGGAGUGACAGAUGAUCUGCAUCACCGGGCCGGUCAGAGGGUCACCGCUAAUCACGGCGCCGGCUGGCUCCCCGCGUGGCCUGGGCCUCCCCACCGGAGAACAGGCGGAGGGCACCUGCAUCUGGGAGCCAGCCAGCGUGUCUGAGGGUGCACCACUUUCUAGCUUAUUAGGUCCUCUUUGUCACAGUGCUUAAUCCUGCCGCCUGAUCCUUGUUAGAACAGCACCGGAGCGCCGCGCAGGCUGCUAAUCAAGGAGAUGGGCGAGGGCCUCCUAACUAGACCCAGUGAAGCGUGCGGCAAGUCAGGGCUCCUGCAGCCUGACUGACAGCGGCUGAGAGAUGCUUCCCGCAUGUUAUUACGGGCAAGGGAACCCACCUCGGACAGCUGACGGAUGAGCCCCUGGCGGAGGCCAGAGUAACUUGUUGCGCGGCCAACAGGCGGCGGGGUGUCAGCUUUUCACACAGUCUAAUGGCCAGGCUUUACUCUGAUUAUCUGAACCCUCUUCUGAAAUCGCUGCAUUCAGAGUGAGGUGAACCAGCCAGAGACACCUAGCCGGCCGGGAGAUUACAGCUGUUCAUAGAAGCAGGCACUGUCUUCCCCUCCAGCGACAAUAACCUCACAAAACAAAAUCAUCACAUCUGAUCCCGCCAAGCCAGGCUCUACGUCUGCACUGGGCUUGGCUUGUGCAGCCUCCGUCUCUGUUAUCUGGAAUAAGCCGCAUGCUUUAAGGUUUGCUGUAGACCCAAGGCAUGGUUUUUGGGAUUCUUCGUUAAGAAAAAGCACAGCAUCAGCCACAAAGCAGUGGUUUGGUCCCCUCCGCCCCCCACGCCCCACCCCCUCUUCCUGGUAGACCUGAAUCCUUUUUUUGUUAGGCUUCCCAGUUCUGGCAGGUCUCUGAAGCACCUGGGACUCUGACGUUUAAUAUUAAAUCUAAUUUCGGGAGUUCCUGCUGUGGCUCAGUGGGUUAAAGAGCCGAUGUUGUCUCUGUGAAGAUGUGGGUUCAGUCCUUGGCUGAGCUCUGUGGGUUAAGGAUCCAGCAUUGUUAUCACAAGCUGCGGCAUAGGUCACAGAUGCUCUUUAAGAUCCAUUGUAGCUGUGGCUGUGGUGUAGGCAGGCAGCUGUAGCGCUCAUUGGACACCUAGCCCGGAAACUUCCAUAUGCCACUCAUGCAGCUGUGAAAAGAAAAAAAAAUCCGACUUAGGCUUGUUGGGUACUCACAUAAACAAAUGGGGGUGGGGGAGGGUAACUGCAUCCCUCUUCCCUCCCCCUUCCCCAGCUGGGAUGUACAGAUGAGUUCCAAGUGAUAGAAAUGAAAAUGCUCGUGAGUAGCUUCUGGUCAUUUCCAUGGACCCGCAACUUUCAGACAUCAGUAUAAGACUCCUCCCCGCCUCCCCAGGCCCCCAGGGAGCGUGUCCAGCUCCCGUCCUGCAUUUCCUGCGCUCCAGUUAGCAGCUGUCAUUAGCAUUCCCCGCUGCUUCUUCUGUCUCCACUGACAGCGCUUAAAUAGAGACGUUGCUCGGGAUUGACAGAUCUCGGGGGGUUGGAGGCGUCAGCCGAGAGGGCCCCGGGAACAGAGCUGACCUUUCUUGACAAUAUUCCCCUAGGUUUGUCUGCCACGUGGGCAACCAGGCACCACAGAACUGUAGUACAUUAUUUUCAGAGGAUUACCACUCGAAGACUUCAGGCUUCGUCAGAGGUAGUUACCAAGAGGACCAGAGCCCCAUAUACCUUCCAGAGUGGGUUUGUAGGUGGUUGGUAGUCGAAUACAGGCUCCUCUUUCUCAUAGAAAUAGGCAUCUGGAUGUUAAUUUCAAGGAGGAUCCAUUAGAACCUGUUCAUACCUCACCUGUACGUUUGUUUGAUUGGACAAACCCUGGACCUGGAUGGAAGGGAGUUGGUGAUGCAGCCUGGGAAGGAAGGGAAUCUUCUUCAUCGCGCUGAGUUGGGCAAAGCUUGGAUAGCGGAGGCUUGUCCUUGGGGUCCUUCCCAGAUGCUUUCCCUGGUCCAUAUUGCUCUCAUGUUGACCCAGAGCCCUAAGAUAACAGUGUGCUGAGAACUGCUCUGUGCCCCAAAUAUAGUCGCCUCUUUUCCUCUUCCUGCCCUUCUUUCCUGGAGUAAAACAAUAAUAGUAAUAAUAGUAAUUUGGGAUUGGCACUGUGGUCUAUGGAAUGAUUGGCCAACACGGACCUGCUGUAGAGCACAGGGAACUCUACCCAAUAUUCUGUGAUCAUCUCUAUGGGAAAAGAAUCUGAAAAGCGUGGGUGUGUGUUUACAUGUAGAACUGAAUCUCUUUGUUGUACAGCAGCAAUGAUCACAGAAUUAUAAAUCUAUGCUUCAGUAAAACUUGAGAAAAUGAAAAAAGUUACAGGGGAAAAAAA